AUUGAACGCUGGCGGCAGGCCUAACACAUGCAAGUCGAACGAGUGGCGGACGGGUGAGUAAUGUCUGGGAAACUGCCCGAUGGAGGGGGAUAACUACGGGAAACGGUAGCUAAUACCGCAUACCAUCGGAUGUGCCCAGAUGGGAUUAGCUCGUAGGUGGGGUAACGGCUCACCUAGGCGACGAUCCCUAGCUGGUCUGAGAGGAUGACCAGCCACACUGGAACUGCGACACGGUCCAGACUCCUACGUGAGGCAGCAGUGGGGAAUAUUGCACAAUGGUCGCAAGCCUGAUGCAGCCAGGCCGCGUGUAUGAAGAAGGCCUUCGGGUUGUAAAGUACUUUCAGCGAGGAGGCGUUACUCGCAGAAGAAGCACCGGCUAACUCCGUGCCAGCCGCCGCGGUAAUUC
rnacentral:rRNA from 1 species